rnacentral:RNase_P_RNA from 1 species
UCAGACGGUCGGAUGGCCGCCUUCGUCUUCGAUGUGAUUCGUAGCGGGGGAGGAAAGUCCGGGCUCCACGGAAACACGGUGCCGGGUAACACCCGGCGGGGGCGACCCUAGGGAAAGUGCCACAGAAAGCAAACCGCCGGCACGGAUGCCAAGGCAAUGGCCUAGCGCAAACCGCCGGUAAGGGUGAAAGGGUGCGGUAAGAGCGCACCGCGUUUCCGGUAACGGAAAUGGCACGGUAAACCCCACCGGGAGCAAGACCAAGUAGGAACGGCAAGAGCCCGUGCGUCCCGCACGGUAUCAGGUGCGUUUCCGCGCCGCCGUUCGGGUCGGUCGCGUGAGGCGUCCGGUAACGGGCGUCCCAGAUGAAUGGCCAUCCCCCUUGUAACCCAACGAGGGGACAGAACCCGGCUUAUAGACCGUCUGGCUGC